GACGAACGCUGGCGGCGUGCCUAAUACAUGCAAGUUGAGCGCUGAAGGUUGGUACUUGUACCAACUGGAUGAGCAGCGAACGGGUGAGUAACGCGUGGGGAAUCUGCCUUUGAGCGGGGGACAACAUUUGGAAACGAAUGCUAAUACCGCAUAAAAACUUUAAACACAAGUUUUAAGUUUGAAAGAUGCAAUUGCAUCACUCAAAGAUGAUCCCGCGUUGUAUUAGCUAGUUGGUGAGGUAAAGGCUCACCAAGGCGAUGAUACAUAGCCGACCUGAGAGGGUGAUCGGCCACAUUGGGACUGGGACACGGCCCAAACUCCUACGGGAGGCAGCAGUAGGGAAUCUUCGGCAAUGGACGAAAGUCUGACCGAGCAACGCCGCGUGAGUGAAGAAGGUUUUCGGAUCGUAAAACUCUGUUGGUAGAGAAGAACGUUGGUGAGGGUGGAAAGCUCAUCAAGUGACGGUAACUACCCAGAAAGGGACGGCUAACUACGUG
rnacentral:rRNA from 1 species